AGAAGGUGUUUGCAGCUUGUGAGUUAUCCUAGUGGUGUUUGACAUAUGUUCUAACUUUCUUUCAGGUGCAGAUGCAUUGCAUCCAUGGCAGAGGGUCAGAGUUAGCAGGUGCCGGGCCUUCCUAGGAGCAGGCUGUCUGAGAGACACCAGCCCAGUGCCAGCAGGACAUUCCCAGCUGACGAGGUGGCCUUUCUUUGUACCUGAGACCAGCAUCCCCAGAUGUCUGAGAGAUAAGUAGAGGGCUACGACCCACAGAGGGGAUGAAAGCAGGGUGCUGGUGUGGGAAUUACUGGGAGGGGUUUUUGAGUCCGCUUUGGAGGUGGGGGGUGUUCAUGAAGUGGCCCCUUAGGCCCCAUAAAAGCAAAGUCUUACUUUUGAUCACAGUGCUGAGGUGUGCAGCUGGGCAGAGCAGCUCCGGUGUGUAUCGUGUCACUUGUCUAUCGUUCAUUAUGUGUUGUUUGGGUAUCUCAUGUAUUUUACCUUAUCCCUUUGAGAGGCCUGUCAGAAACCUUGGCACCAUUCUUAGCAUCCAUGAUCUCAGCAUUCCUUGCCCUGGCACUCAUGCCAUGGAACUUUUGACUGGGGAGCUCAGGCAGGCAUCAGAAAUGCCUCUCUCUUUGGAAGCAUCCUGUCAGAUGUCUUGUCAGGUCUUGUUCUGAGCUGUACGGACAGCUAUGCCCCGCCAGGAUCCAUUAUGGCUGAUAAGGACUUGUAAGAAUGCGAGGUUAGGGAGAGGAUUCUGACUGUAGGAUUUCUAGGCAUCCAUCUUUGCUCUUCUUGGAAUAAAUCAUUCAGUUAAGCAUUGUCUUCCUCCAGGGUUCUCUGAGCCUCAUCAGCUCCCCAUUGGUUUCACCUUGGUUAUCUCCUUUUGCAUCCUCUCAGUCCUUGCAGCCAUUUUCCUUGCCAAGAGAUUUCUGUCUGUGUUGUGUCCCCAUUGUCUGUCCCGUCCUGUCCUGUGUCACGGGUGUCAGCACACAUUUGCGCCAGAGCUGCUCUGCCCUGCUGCAUAGCCUGGUGCAAUAGGAGGUGUCUCGUGGGCUUGGAAUUUGUAAUGUGGGGUGUAGUAGUUGGACUCUAGAUGGGAUUUGUAGAUGGAUACAGGAUAUCUAGAGCCCAUAAGUUAUCCUGCAGCCCUUUGACUUUCAUCCUAACUUUCUUUUAGUUGUAGAAGGAUAAAAUCCAGUGCAGAGCCACCCAUCCUGGGUGAGAGGAUUCCUCCGUGCAUGUCAGUCACUGUUUGUCUCUGCAGAGGAAGCAUAAAUGGUGGCUGCUACAGCUCUGCUCUUUGUCUUUAUUUUUAGGAAGUCAAGGCGGAGAGCAGCUGUCAAGGCUGAGUGGGCAAGAUGGUCCGCUUGCCACCUAUCCUAGCCCAGCAUGCCCAUGCCAGGUGCUGUCCCUGCCGUAGGUAUGCCAAGGAACAGGGGAGG